AGCAGCCGCGGUAAUUCCAGCUCCAAUAGCGUAUAUUAAAGUUGUUGCAGUUAAAAAGCUCGUAGUUGAAUUUCGGGGUCAGUAGGUUGGUCGUGCCACCGGUACGUACUGGUCUCACUGAUUCCUCCUUCCUGAUGAGCUGUAAUGCCAUUAAUUUGGUGUUGCAGGGAAUCUGGACUGUUACUUUGAAAAAUUAGAGUGUUUAAAGCAGGCUAACGCUUGAAUACAUUAGCAUGGAAUAAUGAAAUAGGACGUUCGAUCCUAUUUUGUUGGUUUCUAGGAUUGACGUAAUGAUUAAUAGGGAUAGUUGGGGGCAUUAGUAUUCAAUUGUCAGAGGUGAAAUUCUUGGAUUUAUUGAAGACUAACUACUGCGAAAGCAUUUGCCAAGGAUGUUUUCAUUAAUCAAGAACGAAAGUUAGGGGAUCGAAGACGAUCAGAUACCGUCGUAGUCUUAACCAUAAACUAUGCCGACUAGGGAUCGGAUGAUGUUAAUUUUUAAUGACUCA
rnacentral:rRNA from 1 species